UACGUAGGGUGCAAGCGUUGUCCGGAAUUAUUGGGCGUAAAGAGCUCGUAGGCGGUUUGUCGCGUCUGCUGUGAAAUCUGGGGGCUCAACCCCCAGCCUGCAGUGGGUACGGGCAGACUAGAGUGCGGUAGGGAGAUUGGAAUUCCUGGUGUAGCGGUGGAAUGCGCAGAUAUCAGGAGGAACACCGAUGGCGAAGGCAGAUCUCUGGCCGUAACUGACGCUGAGGAGCGAAAGCAUGGGGAGCGAACAGG
rnacentral:rRNA from 1 species